rnacentral:rRNA from 1 species
UACGAAGGGGGCUAGCGUUGUUCGGAAUUACUGGGCGUAAAGCGCACGUAGGCGGAUCGAUCAGUCAGGGGUGAAAUCCCAGGGCUCAACCCUGGAACUGCCUUUGAUACUGUCGAUCUGGAGUAUGGAAGAGGUGAGUGGAAUUCCGAGUGUAGAGGUGAAAUUCGUAGAGAUCCGGAGGAACACCAGUGGCGAAGGCGGCUGCCUGGACCUGACCUGACGCUGAGGCGCGAAGGCGUGGGGAGCGAACGGG